GUUUUAUGGAAAAGACGUGACGGUGGAGUUUGGUUCAUGCAGCGUCAUGGCGGCGAGUACUGGUUGCGGGCGUGGAAGCUGCGCAGGUGUGGGUGUGGUCCAGGCAUUUCUCUCAGGUGUCGCCUUAGGGAGUACUCUCUCUCUCUCUCUCUCUCUCUCUCUCUCUCUCUCUCUCUCUCUCUCUCUCUCUCUGGAUGUGAAGAUACAGAAGUGAAGCGUCUGGAAUUGCCUGGCAGUGAAAUUGGAUUAUCUUUUACAUUUACUCGUGUUGGUUUCAAUGCACUUUACGUUUAUCCUCAAGGGUUCAGACUGUCUUACUGACUCUAUGUAGGAUCGAAGUCUAUCUGGAGUGAAGGAAUGUGUUCUGCGCUCAGUGGAUGUUAUGCUAAUAUGACGGUUCUCUUUCCAAGUUCGUUCCUUGUGCCUUACUGGUCUGUUUAUUCCGUGUUUUUUUGUUCUGCUUUCCGGUACUGGUGUCGCGGUCUUGCCUUCACUGUUUACGAGGUACGAGGGUUCACUUAGUGGUUCGUUUUGGGCGUGUACAGCGGUUCGGACCCUUUGUUUGUGAUGUCGGCGGGUUCGUUCCGCAAAGUUUACUACCGAUGAUGUUAGUUUUUAGUUCGCUGGAAGGAGAGUUGCUCUGUAAUUUGAACCUUACCGGCUUUUGCUAACGCUGCAUUUUGCCGUCACAGGUCGGGAGGUUCACGGGGCAGCGAGACGAACCGCCGAGACGAAGCAGCAUCGCCACGGGUUCGCCUGACGGAGCCGGGACGCUUGCUGAGGACCAGUCGCAGGUCCGCACCGCUCCCGAUAAGCUUUCGAGACGAGCUUUUCCACCUGCAUCGUGGUGGCGGUAGUGGUGGUGGCGGUGGUGAGCUGCGGUACUGGUGUCUCCCCUCUGGAACGAAAAGGCUGCUAUCUUCAUGAGCAUCCUCCUCCCCUCCCGCCUCGUCGUGCUCCUCUCUUAUCACGUCCCCGUGGGGUGAGCGGCGGGGUGCAGGGUACAGUACAGGGUGUCGCGGUCCUUCCACCCGAGGCACCUUCCUCCAACCCGUUCCUUGUCUCCCUUACGACACAAAAACUCGCGCCCUCCGAUUGGUGUGCCUGGCGCUUGGGGGAGACUGCUGAUGCUGCUGCUGCUAUCCACCGGUCGAACCAAGGAUUUCUCACUGAGGAAGAUCCAUUAACCUUUCCCUGGGGCGAUGGCUGGCUGUGGCUGGGAGGCGGACGGUUUCUCUGCGAUACCAGUGUCUCUCCUGAAGUGUGUGUUCAUCGCCUCGCCAGGUUGACUGUGGUUCUGUAGAGAGAUUUCCACAUCGGUUUUAUAGGUUGAUUAUAUGGCUGAAAAUGUCGAAUCGUGGACUAUACAGGUGGAAUGGAAGGAUUAAUAAAAAUUCCAGGUGGCAAGGAACUUAUUUUUUUUGCUUGAUUUACUACUUGAUUUUCUUUUACUACAUUAUCUUAUCUGUCUUGCAGAUAAAUUUUGCUAGUCCACCCGUUCGAGAUGAGUUUUCUUUCCUUCCCGACCUGACUCAUUUUCUGUUCCAGGAUGAGUCCAGAGACUGCGAAACAUUUGCAGCUUAAGUUGCCAAUGUUUCUUUUAGUCUCCCACUCACCUUGAACAGAGAAAAUGGGUCAGGUCGGGAGAGAGAACCACCUCGAAUGGGAGGACUUGCGUAAUUUAUCUGCAUUGAUCUCGGCUUCUCUCUAUCAAGUUCUGAGAUAAGAACUCUCUCCGAGUAGCAGCUUUUGUAAAAAUCGUACGUUAGUUAAAUUUUGAUACUGCAAAUAACUCCUACUAAUUUAUACUUGCUAUGUUGAGUUCAGAUGGAUCUCCGGCGGCUGGAGGCGCUUCGUUUCCCCAUCACCUGCAGCAGAGAGGACCUGUGGAUGGGGUAGAAGGCUUAAACAGUAGUAGUCUCACUUGCCUUGUUAGCAUAAAAAUAAUGUCAUCAUUUCAGAAUAAAUACAUGCAUUAUAAUUA